AGAACUACCUGGUACAAGAAAUGUCAUAAUCAUGAAGGUGAAUUACCCAUAGCAAGGCUUACACACUGCAUUCAGAAUGUGCUGACUCCCUGCGAGGCUCUAACUUCUGGGAAACUCAACUGCAUAAUUUGUGGUCAUGGGGAGGCUGAGCUUGUGCUCUUCUAAU